rnacentral:rRNA from 1 species
AUUGAACGCUGGCGGCAGGCCUAACACAUGCAAGUCGAGCGCGAGGCGGACGGGUGAGUAAUGUCUGGGAAACUGCCUGAUGGACGGGGAUAACUACUGGAAACGGUAGCUAAUACCGCAUACCAUACGAUCUGCCCAGAUGGGAUUAGCUAGUGUGUGGGGUAAUGGCUCACCUAGGCGACGAUCCCUAGCUGCUCUGAGAGGAUGACCAGACACACUGGAACUGAGACACGGUCCAGACUCCGACGGUAGGCAGCAGUGGGAAACAGUGCACAAUGGGCGCAAGCCUGAUGCAGCCAUGCCGCGUGUGUGAAGAAGGCCUUCGGGUUGUAAAGCACUUUCAGCGGGGAGGCGUUACCCGCAGAAGAAGCACCGGCUAACUCCGUGCCAGCAGCCGCGGUAAUAC